AAAAGACAGUAGAACGGGAAAAUUUCCCCGGUGGGCAGAGCAUUGAGCAGUGAACCUGACAUUUCCUGGGAGAAUUCGGUUGAUUCUACUUUGUUGAACAUCCUAAGAGAUAUAAGAACUAGAAAAGAGGCCGUAGAGAUGAAACCAGAAGUGAGAGGCUUAUCAAUUCCUCAAAGACAAUAAAAGAUGCAGAGAAAACUUGUGGAGUUGUCUACUGGAGAAAGAGAGCUAAGAAAAUGGACAUUGUCCUGAAAAGGAUGUGAUUUUCCAGACCUUGGACUUUUCAGCAUGAGAGCAGCAUUGUCUGGCCAGAUUUCAGAGCUUCA
rnacentral:lncRNA from 1 species